rnacentral:lncRNA from 1 species
GUACACUCUUGUUCGUAUUGUGGAGCCAAUUGGGCAUUUGAGAGAUCUUUGGGUGCUUAUAAGGAGUGAUAAUAUUAAUCAGUUUCUUUGUCACCUUUGUUUUUUUUAAUCAGCAAAAAAAUUAUAUAUUACCGGUACCAAAGGUACCAUCCUUCAAUUCCAUAAAAAGAUCCGUAUUGGUUAAUUAAUAUUGCUUCCCGUGAUUGAAUAGUAAUACUUAUUAACCAGUAGUUUAAAUUAAAACAAUUCCCAUAAAAAAAUCUCUUUACUCUACCACAGUUUUGCAGAUAAGCACACCCUCACCAAUAUUUCAUAGCCCACUUUGUUUCUAAAUUAUCCACUUUCAUGCACGGACGCUUCCACAAUUCAAUUGCUGGAAAUACUCGAAGAUUGACUUUGCACAUGAAUAGCUUUUAGUUCCUUAUGCAAUCACUGGGACAGACAAACCAUUGAUCGCAUGAACAAUCGAAUCCUCCUGUAUCCAAGCUUUUUAACCACGUUCAAAUAUGAAAUUGUGCUUCUUGAAUGAACUUUUGCUUGUCAAAGUUAGAACCCUUCAAAAUGAUAUUGUUCCUAGCUUUCCAUAGUGACCACACAACACCAAUACAAACACAAAUCCAUCUCUCACUCACUUUUUUCCUCUCAUUUAUAAGAACAUAUAUGUUGAAAAAAUGUUCCCUAAUAGAUAUGGGAAACACACCUUACACACCACACCACUCAUAACACAAUUGCCACACUUUCAAAGCAUGACUACACUAAAAUAAGAAAUAUAGUCAGGAUUCCUCUUCCCUUUUACAAAAGGGACAAAGCCAAGCUCCUCCACAUUUCUUUUUAAAAUCCAUCAGUAGAUUAAUAUAUAUACAUAUAUUACUUUUGUUAAAAAUAUAACAAUUGUUGUGCCUUGCUUUAGUGGUGGGUGAGUGCUGGCUUUGUAGGUGCUAGUCCUGUGUUGGAACCUGGAUUGACUCUACUAUUUCCUUUUUUUUUUAUAAGAUUUUAGUUAGCAACCCAU